CUAAGUGUGUUUUUGACAAAAAACCAUGAUGAAACAAGUGAAAGAGGACGAAAUGGCCUGUAGGGGUAAAAAGUAUAUUGGAUAACUUCACCGCCCCUACCAUUUCCAGGAAAAAUCUUCACCCAACCGACCGUACCCGAAACCGACACAGGUGGACGAGUCGAGUAGACUCAGGCGUUGAGUGAACCAUAUUGAAGGAACUCGGCAAAAUAAUCCCGUAACUUAGGAAGAAGGGAUACCGAAAGGUGACACAAAAAUGGGGGUGACGACUUUUUACUAAAAAAUUAGGACUCUGCAAAAUGGUAACAUGCUGUAUAGGGUCUGACGUCUGCCCGGUGCUAGAAGUCUAAAAGGCGCAUUGCAAGAUGCAAAUGGAAAGCCUAGUAAACGGCGGUUGUAACUAUAACAAUCAUAAAGUAGCGAAAUUCAUUGCCAGCUAAUUCCUGGCCUGCAUGAAAGACGUAACGAUUGCCCCACUGUCUCCAGUAUGGACUCAGUGAAAUUGAAUUCUCCGUGCAGAUGCGGAGUACGUGCCCCAAGACGAGAAGACCCUGUGCAUCUUUACUGUACAUUUGCAUUGACAAAACGAUGAGCAUGCGUAGGAUAGGUGGGAGUACAUACAUCCUUGAAAUACCACCCUUGCCAUGGGUUUUGUCUUACACCAAAUUUGGUGCACAAUGCAUGUGAGGCAGUUUGACUGGGGCGGUCGCCUCCUAAAAGGUAACGGAGGCGUGCGAAGGUAAACUCAAUGCAAGACGGAAACUUGCUGAAGAGCGUAAUGGUAUAUGUUUGCCUGACUGUAAGAUGUACACAUCAAACAGAGACGAAAGUCGGCCAUAAUGAUCCACAAGUGCCGUGUGGAAGGGCUUGUGCUUAACGAAUCAAAGAUACGCCAGGGAUAACAGGCUGAUAAUUCCCAAGAGUCCUUAUCGACGGAAUUGUUUGGCACCUCGAUGUUGACUGAUCAUAUCCUGGGGCUGAAGAAGGUCCCAAGGGUUCGGCUGUUCGCCGAAUAAAAUGGUACCUGAGUUGAGUUUAGAACGUCGUGAGACAGUUUGGAUUCUACCUGGGGUGCGCGUAAAAGAAUUGUGAAAACCACGUCCUUGUACGAGAGGACCGGACGUGUACAACCACUGGUCGAGUAAUUGUUUUGCCGAAAGCAUUGUUACCAGGCUACGUUGUGAAAGGAAAAGAACUGAAAGCAUCUCAAGUUCGAAACUUUUUUCGAGACAAAUUCUUUAAGAUGUCGUGAAAGACUAUCACGUUAAUAGCCGAGCUGUCUAUACCA
rnacentral:rRNA from 1 species